rnacentral:sRNA from 1 species
CUAUGGAACUAUUCAAUACAGCAUAGCAAAGUUAAAAUAAGGCUUUGUCCGUAAUCAACCUGAAAAGGGGAGCACCGAAUCGGUGCUUUUUUA